rnacentral:pre_miRNA from 1 species
CUCGGGGGGGUGGUCCCUCAGCCUGGAUUGCGAGAGGGCACAGGCCAGACCAAGGGACCCCACUGGUGCACG